rnacentral:rRNA from 1 species
UAGGAUAGGUGGGAGGCUUUGAAGCAGCGGCGCCAGUCGUUGUGGAGCCAUCCUUGAAAUACCACCCUUAUUCUUUUCGUUGUCUAACCGCGUCCCUGGAUGGGACCGGGACCCAGCCUGGCGGGCAGUUUGACUGGGGCGGUCGCCUCCCAAAUGGUAACGGAGGCGCGCGAAGGUGGGCUCAAGCUGGUCGGAAAUCAGCUGAUGAGUGCAAUGGCAUAAGCCUGCCUGACUGCGAGACUGACAAGUCGAGCAGAGACGAAAGUCGGCCAUAGUGAUCCGGUGGU